GAUGAAGAACGCAGCGAUAUGCGAUAAGUAAUGUGAAUUGCAGAAUUCAGUGAAUCAUCGAAUCUUUGAACGCACAUUGCGCCCAUUAGUAUUCUAGUGGGCAUGCCUGUUCGAGCGUCAUUAAUUCCACUUAAGCCCUGCUUAGUGUUGGGAAUCUACUCUAGUGGUGCUACCCUGGAGCUACCCCUGAAAGGGGGCUGGCCCGGUAGCUACCCUGUAGUUCCUCAAAGAUAGUGCGCGGAGUUGCGUAGUCCUCUGAGCUUAGUAACUAUACACCUAGCUUUUGAGUGUCCCGCGGCGCCUGCCGUUUAAACCCCAUCUCUCAAUGGUUGACCUCGGAUCAGGUAGGAAUACCCGCUGAACUUAAGCAUAUCAAUAAGCGGAGGA
rnacentral:misc_RNA from 1 species